GACGAACGUUGGCGGCGUGCCUAAUACAUGCAAGUCAACUGAAAUACCGGUAGCAAUACUGGUAUGGAGGUGGCGCACGGGUGAGUAACACGUAGGUAAUCUGCCUUCAGGUCUGACAUAACCCAUCGGAAGGUGAGCUAAUAUCAGAUGAUGCAGCGGCUUGACAUCAAGACGGUUGUUAAAGCUUCGGCGCCUGAAGAUGAGCCUGCGCUGAUUAGCUAGUUGGCGGGUAACGGCCCACCAAGGCUGCGAUCAGUAGCUGGUCUGAGAGGAUGAUCAGUCACACUGGAACUGAGACACGGUCCAGACUCCUA
rnacentral:rRNA from 1 species